rnacentral:lncRNA from 1 species
UUAGAAAGCACACGUUUUCCUCUUUCCACUCACUCCACGUUGCCUAAACCGCGGUUUCCUCUUCCCGGCGGCGCUGGCACUGCGGCAGCUGAGGCGCGCUCCGCUCCCGGGAACCUCGGGCCUUGGCGCGCCAUUUUCCGUCGCGCAGUUAGUUGCCGGGGCGUCCUGAGACCUUUUGAUCGGGUCCCUUUCGUCUCUAGGCCCCUCGGCGAUCUCCGAUCAGACUCACCCACCAGAGCACCGCCACAAAGGUCCGGGGAAGAAACCUCUCACCUCCCUGGAGUCUCAGCUCAGCGUUUGGGAAGGAACCGUUUAAAAACCCAGGAGCAGAAUAAUCUUGGGGAGAAGAGAAAAGCAGUUGUAACAUCCCCACGUGGCAAUAAAGAUGAAAACCUCGUGAAGUCCUGCUCGUCUCAUCAACAGGUGAUCGAAGGUGGGCCUCAGUUUCCCAACCAGAUUGGCAGCUCCUCCAGCGCCAAGGUGGCACCUUAACCAUCUUUGAAGGGCGCCUCCGCUGCUGAUCCGAGUGCUUCCUGGAGGAACGCUAGAGCCGGGGCAGGUCACAAGGUGAACUGCACUGCGCGCCUCUGAGGCUGAUGCUGGGUGACCGACCGCGUCAGCUGCUUGCCUGCCUCCUGCGUGUGAAUUCUCAUAGGUCCUGACAGAUGGUGGCGGCUUUGACAGCUCGUCAGCUCCGUGAGGACGCUGGUCCCCACUCACUGCUCUUGGACCGCCAGCUCUGAUUCUGUGUGCCGGGCUUCUCCGCUAAUGCUUUAGGCUUGGAAGUGGGGACCUGUCUGGAGCAGCACGGCAGGAGUUCCAGGGCAGCCGUGGGGUUGGAACAAAGACCCGCGGCAGGAAUCACAGUGAGAAGUGCUCAAAUUCAACACGCAGACAUGACGCUCUGAAAGCUCAAGGAAAGCUCUAGAGAGCAGGGGGACUACGGCUCCAAGAGCAUCGGACAUGAAAACACCAGACCCAGGUUGGAGGCCUGGUUCUGCGGCUCUGGGAGGCUCCCUGAACCCAGUAUCUGUAUAACUUUGGUGUACAUGUUUUCCAAAGACCCUUUGCCAGAUCCGAUAGUCUUUUCAAUAUACAUACGAUGUAUUUUAAAAUAGCUAGUGGUGUGUGUUCAAUGGCCUGGGGUUGUUUGCUACCACUUUCAUUGAUGAGAACUAGAAUCUGCAACUCAAGAAUUCUUGUCGUCGUCCUCAUUGGUGGGGCAUUGCCUGGACACCACUGCCCCCUUGUGGCAGCAAAUCUAAUUUUGUAGGUUGAUGAUAAGAAAUUCCACAAUUCGCAAAACCUUAUAAACUUGGAUAUAUAAAAGGGUUGAAGAAGGUCCCCAAAGCUUUAUUCAUCGCUGAAAGGGACAUAUUCUUGUAACAAGAUCAGAUGCCUUAGUCAUUCACCCCCUUAAUGCCUUGGCUUUACUUCAAGUUAGUAAUUUAGAAGUGAUCUUUAAGUGGGUUUACAGCCAGAUUACCUAAAU